rnacentral:rRNA from 1 species
AUGGGGAACAGCAUUGGGGCGAAGCGGAAGGGGGCCAAGGUGAUGCAGCUGGACGGGACGUCCUUCCGGGUGAAGCCGCCGGCGGCGGCGGCCGACGUGCUGCGCGACCACCCGGGCUUCCAGCUGCUGGAGGCGGAGGAGGUCAAGCUGCUGGGCGCGCGGGCGCGGCCCCUGGCGCCCGACGCGCCGCUGCGCCGGGGCCGGCUCUACUUCCUCGUCGCGCUCCCGCGCCGCCCCGCCGCGGGGCCGCCGCGCAGGGCAUGGUCGGGCAACCUCCGCGUCGGCGCGCGCGAGCGGCUCGAGUCGCUCAUGCUCGCCCGCCGCUCCACCUCCGACCUCUCCUCCUUCCAGGGCGUCGCCUCCGCCUCCGCCCCCGCCUCCCCGCUCUUCGCGGGAGCGGGAGGCGGCGCAGGCACCCCCGUGCGGCUCAGGAUGCGGCUCCCCAAGGCGCAGGUGGAGAAGCUGAUGGGGGAGAGCCGGGACGCGGCGGAGGCGGCGGCCAAGAUCAUGGAGCUGUGCGCCGCGGUGGGCGACGGCGGCGGCUGCGGCGCCAAGGUGACGCCCGAGCGGCCGCCCGGGAUCCUGCGCAGCCCGCGGUUCGCGGCCACGCCCGAGUGGGGCUCCGGCUUCAUGCUCCCCAAGCCGGCGCCCGGCGCGCCGCCCAAGACGCCGCAGCGGUGGGCCUCGCUGCCCCGCGCCAAGGAGGAGAAGCGUGCGAGGUUCGUGGCGUUGCCGGACGAGCUGAUCGCAUGA